rnacentral:rRNA from 1 species
UACGUAGGGGGCAAGCGUUGUCCGGAUUUAUUGGGCGUAAAGAGCGUGUAGGCGGCCUGGAAGGUCAGCUGUGAAAACUCGAGGCUCAACCUCGAGACGUCGGUUGAAACCACCUGGCUAGAGUCCGGAAGAGGAGUGUGGAAUUCCCGGUGUAGCGGUGAAAUGCGCAGAUAUCGGGAAGAACACCCGUGGCGAAGGCGGCUCUCUGGUACGUGACUGACGCUGAGACGCGAAAGCGUGGGGAGCAAACAGG